AGAGUGGUAAAUGGCUUGCCAAUCCCCUAUGUGUCUAAAAUCUGCAAAUCUAUUAGUUACAGUAAUAAUGUAUUUUAAUUAUUUUUCCUUCUGUGACUAUUAGAAAUUUUGCAAUAAGUGUUACUGUUUAUGUGCUGUUACUUUACAUGUUGUUGUGUUUAACCACUAGAGGGCAGUGUUGCGGACGUUAUCGCUGGACAUUUUAUUUUGAAAAGACGCAAAGCAGUCGUUUUUCCUGUUCGUCUUCCUGUUUUGAUGUCUGCUCCGCGGUUGUUUCAUCUGCAUGAUAAACAAAAUAUCCACGAAGUUUUAAGAGGACGGAAAUGUGCGUCGUGGUAGUGAGAAAGCCGUAAGAGACGCGUAGCUUGUGAGAAAACGGCGCCAUUUCCAGCGUUCCUGGGUGUAAAACAGUUGAAAACUGUGAGUUUUGUUUGAUUAUUUAUUUGUAACUUCUCCAAUGACUUGUAAGUAAUUUUAUUUAUUUAUUUGUGUUCAUUCUCAGUGGUCAGAGUCCACUGCCGUAUUUUUAUGUUACUUUCUUUAACAUUUUUGUUUGGUAAAAUCCUUUGCCACGAGACCAACCAGUUGUCAAAGAAAUUCUGAGAUUUUGUUUUACUUGAAGCAAGUCUGUGAACAUUUUUGAGUGUGAUUUAAAAAUAAUAAAUUGCUGUAAAAAACCCA